CACAACACCUAUGGAGAUAGGAGUCCUUAGAGGACCACUCACCCCUGAGGAGCGUUUGAGAAGAAGAUCUAAACAGUUGUGUAUGUACUGCGCCAAUCCAAAUCACACAGUUUCUGACUGCCCCACCUUACGCAGGAAUAAACAAAAAAUGGGACCUUAGAAGACUGAAAACAGAAGCCAUCAUAGAUUCUGGAGCCUUCGGCAACUUUAUUGAUUCAACACUUGUAACCAACAAUAAAAUACCUUCUGUUAUGAAAGAAA